rnacentral:rRNA from 1 species
CGCGAAAACUUUACAAUGCUGGCAACAGCGAUAAGGGAACCUCGAGUGCCAGGUUACAAAUCUGACUGUCGAGAUGCCUAAAAAGCAUUUCAUAGCAAGGGCCGGGCAAGACCGGUGCCAGCCGCCGCGGUAACACCGGCGGCUCGAGUGGUAACCGUUAUUAUCGGGUCUAAAGGGUCUGUAGCCGGCCGGAUAAGUCUCUUGGGAAAUCUGGCAGCUCAACUGUCAGGCUUUCAGGAGAUACUGUCUGGCUCGAGGCCGGGAGAGGUGAGAGGUACUUCAGGGGUAGGGGUGAAAUCUUGUAAUCCUUGAAGGACCACCAGUGGCGAAGGCAUCUCACCAGAACGGACCUGACGGCAAGGGACGAAAGCUAGGGGCACGAACCGGAUUAGAUACCCGGGUAGUCCCAGCCGUAAACGAUACUCGCUAGGUGUCGGCCACGGUGCGACCGUGGUCGGUGCCGUGGGGAAGCCGUGAAGCGAGCCACCUGGGAAGUACGGCCGCAAGGCUGAAACUUAAAGGAAUUGGCGGGGGAGCACCACAACGGGUGGAGCUUGCGGUUUAAUUGGAUUCAACGCCGG